GUGGGUAUCGCUCAGUGGUAGAGCACACGCUUUGCAUGCAUGUGGUCAUGGGUUCAAGACCCAUGUACCUCUU
rnacentral:tRNA from 1 species